rnacentral:rRNA from 1 species
GACGAACGCUGGCGGCGUGCUUAACACAUGCAAGUCGAACGGAAAGGCCCUGCUUUUGUGGGGUGCUCGUGUGGCGAACGGGUGAGUAACACGUGAGUAACCUGCCCUUGACUUUGGGAUAACUUCAGGAAACUGGGGCGAAUACCGGAUAGGAGCUCCUGAUGCAUGGUGGGGGUUGGAAAGUUUCGGCGGUUGGGGCUGGACUCGCGGCUUAUCCGCUUGUUGGUGGGGUAGGGGCUUACCAAGGCUUUGACGGGUAGCCGGCCUGAGAGGGUUACCGGCGACAUGGGGACUGCGAGACGGCGCAGACUCCUACGGGAGGCAGCAGGGGGGAAUAUUGCACAGUGGGCGGAAGCCUGAUGCAGCAACGCCGCGUGCGUGAUGACGGCCUUCGGGUUGUAAACCGCUUUCGCCUGUGACGAAGCGGGAGUGACGGUAAUUGGUAAAGAAGCACCGGCUAACUACGUG